rnacentral:snRNA from 1 species
AUGCUCACUUUGGCAGCACAUGCACUAAAAUUGGAACAGUACAGAGAAGAUCAGCAUGGCCCCUGCACAAGGGUGACAGGCACAUUCGUGAAGCGUUCCAUAUUUUU